UACGUAGGGUGCGAGCGUUAAUCGGAAUUACUGGGCGUAAAGAGCGUGUAGGCGGUCCGGUAAGUCCGCUGUGAAAAGUCGGGGGGCUCAACCUCGAAUGCCGGUGGAUACUGUCGGGCUAGAGUGCGGAAGAGGCGAGUGGAAUUCCUGGUGUAGCGGUGAAAUGCGCAGAUAUCAGGAGGAACACCUAUUGCGAAGGCAGCUCGCUGGGACGUAACUGACGCUGAGACGCGAAAGCGUGGGGAGCAAACAGG
rnacentral:rRNA from 1 species